AGGCGUCAGAGUGUGGAGUGGCAGCACAAGAGCUGAUUUCCAUACUUUCUGAAUAUUUCCUGAUACCAAUGAACAGGCAUCAGAGCUCAGACCUGUCAACUUAUUCAAUAAAACAGCAUGAUCAACAGUAUCAAAAGCUUUCGACAGGUCCGCAAACAAAACAGCACAUUUCAUUUUAGUGUCUAAAACAUUGAUCAUUAACAACUAAAGUGGUUAAUGUAAUAGUGCUAUGCCCAGGCCUAAACCCUGAUUGGAUGCCCAGGCCUAAACCCUGAUUGGAUGCCCAGGCCUAAACCCUGAUUGGAUGACCAGGCCUAAACCCUGAUUGGAUGCCCAGGCCUAAACCCUGAUUGGAUGCCCAGGCCUAAACCCUGAUUGGAUGCCCAGGCCUAAACCCUGAUUGGAUGACCAGGCCUAAACCCUGAUUGGAUGCCCAGGCCUAAACCCUGAUUGGAUGACCAGGCCUAAACCCUGAUUGGAUGCCCAGGACUAAACCCUGAUUGGAUGCCCAGGCCUAAACCCUGAUUGGAUGACCAGGCCUAAACCCUGAUUGGAUGACCAGGCCUAAACCCUGAUUGGUUUACAUACAAAAUACAUGCCUCUGAUUUAAAAAAAGAGCAAAGUUGUACAUUUUACCAAGGAUUGUAGAAUCUUAUCUAGACCAGGAAGUCUUGAAAACAGGGCGGUAGUGAUUAUAAUCUCUACUGUCCCCAUCCUUAUGGAGAGGCAGCACAACAGCUGAUUUCCAUACUUUUUGGAAUAUUUCCUGAUAACAAUAUUAAAUACAAAAUGGUGGUUAUUGAGCCAACAAUGAUGAGCGCUGAAUACUUAAGCAGACCUGGGAUCCAAUUGGUCGGCCCCCUGUGGAGUUCUUCAUGUCUAUUUGCUAACAAAGCAUCUAGGAAUUAUUUGUUUCUGUAAAUAGCCUAAAAGAAAAGCUUUGACUAUAAUUUCUCUGAUCAUUUAGCAAGUUUCCCCCUACCAGCAUCCAACCCAAUAUCAUUGUGAAUAGACUUAGAAGUUCUUUCAAAGAGAUAUAAAAUGGUGAUUAAAUGUGUCAAUUAUGCAAUCCAUCCAUUCCAUUCAUUCCAUUCCAGCCAUUCCAUUCAUUCCAUUUAUUCCAUUCCAGCCAUUCCAAUGAGCCCAUCCCC
rnacentral:lncRNA from 1 species